rnacentral:snoRNA from 1 species
GUCUUGUCAGUGAUGUCUUAAAACACAAAUGUCUGAACAAAUGACUUUUCUGUGAUUCUACUCUUUGUACUGAGACAAGAC